CAAACAUGUUUGUUGCCUUUUAUUUGAUUUUUCUCAACGUGUACUGAAAAUUUUGAGUGUAUAUUCUUCACCCUCACUGAAUUAUAAAGAUGGCCGAAGUGAAAAAGGACGCGAAGUGUUUUCUUUGUACGGCUUUAUAAAAAUAAUGCCGAAGAAUGUGGCAAGGUCGAUUACUGGUCCAGUUCCAGCGAAGCUUCCUGGUUUCCUGCUGUUAGCAGAUGACGUGACACCAUGGAGUCAGUGGAGGAUUUUCUUGGCUGCAGUUGCUGUACAGCAGUGUUAUUAGUGGAAUAUCGAGUGAUUAUUUUCGUUAAAUUUUAAUGUAAAAUGCUUACUGUGCAAAAAAUAAAUAAAUAGAA